UGCAUGGUUGUCGUCAGCUCGUGUCGUGAGAUGUUGGGUUAAGUCCCGCAACGAGCGCAACCCUCGUCCUAUGUUGCCAGCGGGUCAUGCCGGGACUCAUGGGAGACUGCCGGGGUCAACUCGGAGGAAGGUGGGGAUGACGUCAAAUCAUCAUGCCCCUUAUGUCUUGGGCUUCACGCAUGCUACAAUGGCCGGUACAAAGGGCUGCGAUACCGCGAGGUGGAGCGAAUCCCAGAAAGCCGGUCUCAGUUCGGAUUGGGGUCUGCAACUCGACCCCAUGAAGUCGGAGUCGCUAGUAAUCGCAGAUCAGCAUGCCGCGGUGAAUACGUUCCCGGGCCUU
rnacentral:rRNA from 1 species